GCCGGGAUGGCGGAACGGAAGACGCGGCGGACUCAAAAUCCGCUGGGCGAAAGCUCGUGUGGGUUCGAGUCCCACUCCCGGUA
rnacentral:tRNA from 1 species